AUUGUACUCAUAUCAUUCCCGAGUUAUAAACCAUCCCAUUUCUUUCUCUAUACAAAUAUCCCUCAAUGUACUUCUCAAUCACGACAUGAGAUGGCAUUGUGACGCAGCAUGAAGCUUAAAGAAACACCACACUCAUGUGUGAGAGAGAGAAAAUUAGAGAGAAACCUCUGCUGGAUUUUUUAUUGCUGAAAAUCUGAUCUGAAAUACAUAAAACUUGGGCUAUUUGUAGAGUUUUUAGACCCCCCCAAACCUAAUUGGAAACUCUACUAAAUAGGAAGUUAAACUAAA
rnacentral:misc_RNA from 1 species